rnacentral:rRNA from 1 species
GGGGAAUAUUGCACAAUGGGGGAAACCCUGAUGCAGCGACGCCGCGUGAGUGAAGAAGUAUUUCGGUAUGUAAAGCUCUAUCAGCAGGGAAGAUAAUGACGGUACCUGACUAAGAAGCCCCGGCUAACUAC